GAGCGUAGGGCGCGAGCGUUGUCCGGAUUAUUGGGCGUAAAGAGCUCGUAGGCGGCUUGUCGCGUCGACUGUGAAAACCCGCGGCUCAACCGUGUGGUCUGCAGUCGAUACGGGCAGGCUAGAGUUCGGUAGGGGAGACGUGGAAUUCCGGAUGUAGCGGUGAAAUGACGCAGAGUAUCAGGAGGAACACCGGUGGCGAAGGCGGGUCUCUGGGCCGAAUACGUGACGCUGGAGGAGCGAAAGCGUGGGAGCAACAGG
rnacentral:rRNA from 1 species